UUCCUACGGGGCGCAGCAGUGGGGAAUAUUGCACAAUGGGCGCAAGCCUGAUGCAGCGACGCCGCGUGCGGGAUGGAGGCCUUCGGGUUGUAAACCGCUUUUGUCAGGGAGCAACGCCGGCUACGUGUAGCCGGACUGAGAGUACCUGAAGAAAAAGCAUCGGCUAACUCCGUGCCAGCAGCCGCGGUAAUACGGAGGAUGCGAGCGUUAUCCGGAUUUAUUGGGUUUAAAGGGUGCGUAGGCGGAAUGCCAAGUCAGCGGUAAAAUCGCGGGGCUCAACCUCGCUCCGCCGUUGAAACUGGCGU
rnacentral:rRNA from 1 species